AGCGAACGCUGGCGGCAGGCCUAACACACGCAAGUCGAACGCUGUAGCAAUACAGAGUGGCAGACGGGUGAGUAACGCGUGGGAACGUGCCCUUCGGUUCGGAAUAACUCAGGGAAACUUGAGCUAAUACCGGAUACGCCCUUUUGGGGGAAAGAUUUAUUGCCGAAGGAUCGGCCCGCGUCCGAUUAGCUAGUUGGUGUGGUAAUGGCGCACCAAGGCGACGAUCGGUAGCUGGUCUGAGAGGAUGAUCAGCCACACUGGGACUGAGACACGGCCCAGACUCCUACGGGAGGCAGCAGUGGGGAAUAUUGGACAAUGGGCGCAAGCCUGAUCCAGCCAUGCCGCGUGAGUGAUGAAGGCCCUAGGGUUGUAAAGCUCUUUCGCCAGGGACGAUAAUGACGGUACCUGGAUAAGAAGCCCCGGCUAACUUCGUGCCAGCCGCCGCGGUAAGAC
rnacentral:rRNA from 1 species